rnacentral:tRNA from 1 species
GUAGAUUUAGCUCAGUAGGUAGAGCAGUUGACUUUUAAUCAAUCUGUCGUAGGUUCGAUUCCUGCAAUCUUAA